GAGUGUGCAGUCAGACAACACGCAGAAAACCAGAGGUUCCUGGUGACUGAACUUUUGUGUAUGGAAAGAACUGCAAUGGAAGUUGUAGACAGCAGUGAGGCCAUGUUUUAGCCUCUUUUGUUCUCCAAACUAGAAAAUCCAAGUGUACUCAGCCUGUCCUCACAGGACAUGAACAGCUGUUUUAAUAUAACAUUUUACAUUCAAAGUUCAUCUUGUAUCUCAGGAGCCCCCAGAAAAUAAAAUGUGGUCUGCAGUUCACUUAUGAACAGUUCAGUUUGAAGAUCUUCAGUUCACCACGUGAUAUUGUUUCUGUUCCAGAUGAUUUAUGGGAUGGUAUGUACCUAACAAAUGUAGCAUGAAAUAUGAACACUAUGAAUCUUGUAUAUGACUGGAAAUAACUUCUUGGUAAAUAUGAGAAUUCUUGAAAUUCAGGGAAGAUUGCAACUGACUUUUGGACUGCUAAAGUCAAACAAGAGGAUGAAUCAUUCCCUUUAAAGUGCUCAACUCCCUUGUUUUUGCAUACAUGGGAAAACAGAUUGCUUACUUUGUACACAUUUUGGUACAAACAACAUUUUGAGCAAGCAAACACCGGUCUAUCUUCCUGUAGGUAAUUGGAGUCAGCAAGCUGCCAAUGUCAUCUCAAAGUUCUCCAAAGCUCUGCACUGUUUCUCCUGUGAGAGCCCAUUUAGAGACACUAAUCAGCCUCUGUCAGUAGCAAGCCAAAUGAGAGAAAACACACUAUAUGCAUAGAACAGAGGGGAAAAAAAAAUAGAGUGAAAGUGGAAAAUAUUGUUAAUAAGAAAUAAUACACCACAGGGCACUGAGAGCAGAUUUUAUUCUUUUUAAAAUUGACCCACAGCCCACAUAUGCUAGUGGGAUUCUUUGUUUUAGUUUUAAUGUAUUUGGGUUGAAAUCCUUGGAGGAAAAUCUAGAAAGAGACAAUUCUAUGGAAGAAGGGGAGAACAACCUACUAACCAUAGAGAGUAAAGACAUUUGAGUCACCUGCUUUUCCCCAGACUUACUUAGAUCAUGAGGCUACAACUUUAUGUAGACAACAUAGUACAGUAUAGACACUAAUGAGCUACGUGAGUGCUGUAACUGUGAAACAUGGCAACAGCACCAGGCUGUUACAUGAGUCAGUCAGCAUUAUAUCAGACUGCCACUCUUCUGCUUUCAGAAUCAUGAUACUUGCUCCAUGCAAACACUGUUAUGUCAUAUAGGCAUACAACUUGUCUGCUAAUCUCAGACACUUCCAGACCAGGAUAAAUGUAUCUUUCAGUGACAAAGAAAGAUAAAAAAGGAGAACAAGUUUACAGCUGGUUUGGUAACCUUACUUCAACAAGAUAUGAUUGGGCACACAAUUCAGUGGGAGUCAAAGAGAAGUUCAUUUCUCUUAUCAGAUUUCACUUUCAGGCUCAGAAGGGGAAAGGAAGAUUUCAGUAGAGAACUUCAAACAGAUUUGACAUAUAUCUCCAAAUUCUUGAGAUGAAUCUAUUUGCAGCUGUUUCAGGUACUAAAAUAGAGGCAUGAAUCAGGGUAUAUUUGGAAGAGUGGAUAUACUUGGUAAUAGAUUCUAAAUAGAGGCCAUAGAGGUUAUCAGAGGUUAAUCACAAGGAAGAUUUAGAUUAAGGCUAUCAAAUAAAAAAAUAUGCUUUGUAGGCUGACCUUGCAAUAGUAUAGAAAGAAUUAAAUGCAUUUAAAAAAAUAUAUAAAAUCUUUCCAACAGAAUCUGACCAUUUAGCGUUUAAGUUUAAUAUCAAUGUACAUAAAGGUUGUUUUAUAGACAGGCUGUUACAUUUUGUCAUUUCAAACUCAUUAAAGAAUGGACUUUUGUCAAAAUGGCAAAAAUGAUGAUAACAAAAAAAAUGCACAAUCCAUUCACUGACAGAAAAAUGGGCAGUACACAUAUGUAUCAAUUAAAGGCUUCAUAUGUUUAAAAAUUGAUAGAAUAAAAUAACAUACUUGAUUAAUAUCAAAACACAAAGGAAAAGUGUAUUUGAUGUCUAGACGAAGAUAACAGGUUUGGGCCAGAAAAAUGGUAUACAGUAGUACAGGGUAUUGUUCUUUGAUAAAAUGCAUAAAUGAUGCACCUUCUCAUACCUUCUCAUAAAUUUGGAUUUAUUUCUUCCCUUCAAUCCAAAUCCCAUGAUAUUUCUGAGAAAACUGUGUAUUUUCUUUCAUCUUGCUAUGUCUUAGCAGUCAAAGGUAUAAGUGACUUCAUCAACAAACUAAAUGCAAUUCAGAAUAUAUCAAUCUGCAAUAACUUUUCCAAUUGAUCUGACAAAGCAGAACUUUAGUUUUAAGAGAGCCUAAGGAUCUAAAGAGAGCUGUAGUUGAAUCCGCCAUCAUUCUGUGUCUGUUUGCCUUGCCUCAGUUUCAGAGAGAUUUAAAAUUCGGAGAUUUAUUUAAAUUUUGCAACUCAGAUGCCAACUGUUAAUUCUCACUGUGUUCUUUCAUUAUUAUUCUUUUACUGUGUCAUCCUUCUUUGUCGAUGCUGUGUUCUACAAUUCUGCGGUAGCUUAAGACAAUCCAUUGACUAUUAAUGAAAUUAGCUCUUUAGUAUGUGCUUGUAUUACUCGUUUCUGCAAUAGUUAAAAUCAAAGCACAGGCACUGUAGGCCAAAUGUAGAAGAUUCUCAGUGUUGUUAGCAAGGCUAUUACCUGUUUUCUCAAGAAGAUACCUUGACAAAUGAGGAGUUCAUCUGUCAGUGACCAGCAGUAACACUGCCUUUUGUAACUUGCUUGAACUCAGAACAAGAGGUCACUCAUCACUCUCUCUGACCAUUUGUGCAAAGCAAAUAAGAAGCAUGAUUUCGGAAGUAAAUCUUUAGCAACUGUCACAUAUUUCCCUUCUUCUGUUGAUGUUAGCAAAGGAACAUGUAUAGAUACUUUAUCAUGCUAAGCUAACAUGAUCACCAAGCUGUGACUAUAUAAUGAUUUAUUAGGGAUAGAGAAUAUUCAGACAACUUUAUUAUACUUUUUUUCCCACCAUUGGGUGGAGUUGGAUAUUAAAGUGAUUAGUUUGAGCAUAAGAAUGACAGAAUUUAUCCCUAUACAAAUUAAUUUUCAAAUGCUUAUAGGUAAAUGUAGAUUUGUAUGGGGGAGAAAGCAGAGCACUCCUACAUUUUGUUUUACUGUGAUUUGACACUUGUCAUAAUAAAGCUUAUUUAUAUAGUUAAAAUUAUCCAUAAAACCCUUCUUGCUCUUUUCUACAAAUGUCAUGUAUUUGUAUCUCAACUCCCCACAGAAAUACUUCCUAACUGAGACCUGUCUAUACAUAUUUAGAAUAUUAAAGUCCCUGCUUAAGAGUUUAAUGGUAAAGUUAAGUGCUGUAAAUGAGUGCCACUUAAUUGACUUCCAUGUAUACUUCCUCAUACAAGAUCUCUCCUGGUAUACCAGGGUAGAAUUUGUCCCAGUGGAUGUAUGCUGCAAUAUAAAUUCUUGGAUAUUUAAAUAAGUGCUGUGGGAUGAUGUAAUCUAAGAUACACCAUAAAUUCAAUAAAUUACACUUACCACAUACACUAUAUAGAAGAGAAGCAAUUAUUUUUAAAAAGAUACCAAUAGAUUUAUCAGAAAAGCAGGCAUGUGUGAGUGGACAGGACUUCAAGCACUAAAAAUAGCAAACCUCUGACCAAAGGUAUAAAAGCCUUAUAUCUUGUUCAAAAUUUUAUUGAGAUCUAUCUUUAAAGGAAGAAUUCUUUUCUGCUAUUGCUGUCACUGGAUAAAACAUUACCUUUUUAGAGGUUAGAAAAAAUGUUUUCUGGGCUGGUUCUACAUUAGGCCUAUAUCAAAAUUCAGAGGCUAAUCAGACAGUUUUUUCAGCUUUUAGUGUAUGCUCUCAAAAGAUUUUGAAUUUUAUGUACCAUACGUAGCGCUAAGAAACCACAGUGCUGGAAUUUGUUUAAUGUUUCAAUGAGCUUUGUUAAAAAUCCCCAAACCUACAAGCCUCACACUUUAGAAUUAAUUUUAAAUACAGCCUCCUAAAGCUAUGCAGGCUCCAUGUAAUUUUCAGAGCUCACUUAUUUCAUCCAUGAUUUAAGAUGCCUUGUUUUGAUUUAAGAAAAAUAAAAUAAGUUUGAAGACCUCUCCUCCCUGGAAAUCAUAUUUUCCAUGGAGUGAAAUUUACCAUAUUAAAUCCAUCUACACAUUCAGACUUUUGAAUCCAAUUGAAUAUUCAAGAUUUAUUUUGUGACAGAAUAAUAGAAACAGAGGAAAGGUAAACAUUACUAAGGAAAGACAAUCAUUUUCUGACUAAUACUUGGAAUGACGUUCACACAUGAGAAUAGACUACUUGCAGGGCAAAGAUAGGAAUGGCUUUAUGAAUUUGAAAGGAUAGAGUGUUUGUUGUUUUUGUUGUUUUGUUUUGUUUUGUUUUUAAUGGAGCCCAUUUGUGUAUCCCUUUAAGUGGGUUCUCAACUAAUAAGCGUUUUCCAGUUCAAAGUACAAAAAGCUUUUGUUUGUGUGGUCAAUAAUUUUAGCUUGUUUUUGUUUUGAUUGCAAUAGUCUUGAAAAAAAAUGAUUCAAAGAUUUUUUCCAUUAUUUUCUUUUUUGUCCUUUUUUUUUUUUUUUAACCUAAAUGUCUCUUAUUUGUACGCUUAUCCUUCUCACACAACAUCUUUAAAAAUCUUAAGACUGUUUGGAUAGUUGUUUGUUGAAAAAACAUCCUGUUUUUAAUUUUUAUUUCAUUACCAGAAAUGUUAUUUCAUAACUACUUGUGAAUUUUUGGAAACAGCCUAGGUGUUGAAUUUUGAGAAUAGUCCUGAUUCCUCCAAAUACCCAAAGCUAGUCACUUGGCUGCCAUUGAAAAAUCAAUCUUUCACUAGGUUUUAAUUGCCCAAAUAAUUUUAAAGAUGCAUAGUUUUGUCUUUGUUUAUUAUUAUAGCCUCCAAAGUCAAAUGUAUGCAGUUCUCACUGAUGUUAGAGUAGCUGUGUGCUGAAAUGGCAGAUGUUUUACGUAUGUAAACAUUCAUUAUGGUAUAUUUUUCUCUCUAAUGAUUUAUGAAAUCUACUUUCAGAAUCUUAAUCCUCUUGAACUAGAGACAUAUUUUGUUCCUUUUCUGAAGCAGUGUGAAUAUAUUAGGCAAGAUAUCAGAACAAGUCUGUAAAGUGUUAUGGAGAAGGAAAGAAGAAACUGACGCAAGGCAAUAACUGCAUACAUCAAAUUUAUUCGCUGAAGAAAAGAUGAAAUGACCAUCAGAACAAUUUCUCUGUUGAACUUCCUUAACAGCCAAAAAACAUGAUUUCAGGCAAACGAUGUGGAAGAGCUAUCAGCAUAGAACAGGACAGAGGCAAUCAUGGUUUUCAGAAAUAGAACAGUCAGAUUAUUCAUGUUCAGUGUAAAAUUAUGAUUAAUAUCUUAAUAUUGCAUAAAAUGAGGACAUCUUUAUGAUAGAGGGAGUGACUCAUGGUGAUUUUUGUUUGCUUCCUUAAUCUAUCCAUUUAUGCUGAUUCAUCCUACUUUUUGAAUCUAACCCUUCAAAUUUUACGGGUAUCAUUACAGGAAAUGUUAUGGGAAACAUUUUGUUAAUUAGAAUGAAAAAUGAACUUCAAAGUCCAAAUUCAGGUAGAAAAAAAUAAUGAUCAUUGCUAAGGAAUCUAGAAUCAUUUAGUAUAAGCAGAAAACAAAAAAUAAGCAAUGUAGUAUAUAUACCUAACUAUUACCACACAUAGCAUAGUAUUACAUCAACAGUCCUGUUAAAGAUUCAUUAGUGUUUCAUCACCAGUAGUUGACAUGCCAUGUUGAAGUUGCAUGAAUGUCAAUGGUAAGAUGAAAUGGAUAUACCAUGAGGUGAAUAUGUCUUUUAUUCUUAUCCAGAAACUAGAACCAAUUAGUUUUAAAUUGAGUAGAACUACUUUACAAAUACCUAUUUAACAGAAUUUUCUUUUCCUUCUAAUUAAUUCCAAGCCCUGCAAGCUGAAUAAGAUAAAAGUAAAAGUAAAAACCGUGGUUUUGCUAGCUGUCUGUAGGUUCCAUUUCUUUGUUUCUGGGUCUGAUUCUGACUCUACUGUAGUUGCUUUUACAACAAAACCAGAUAAAAGAGUUCAAGGCAAUCACUGAAAACUACUAAAAGCCAGCAACCUCUAAAAAUAUAGAUGCUUCCCUAAUCUGUGUUUUCCUGAACAAUUAAUUAAUAUAGGCCACAUUACAUGCCAUACCAACAGAGGAACAGGAAGCAUUCAGAACUGUAUUUGUACUGUUAAAUGUCAGGGAAAGCAUUUCCUUAUGUGGAAGAAUGUAACCUCUAUAUCCUUCCUAUUCUGUCAUAUAUGUAUCUCCUCCCUUUAACAACAGAAAUUAGUUUUCCCCUGUUUCAGAAUAGCACGGUACUGCUCCCUAUGAUCAUUUCUGAAGUGGCGGCAAUUUGCAAAAUAGGCCUGCUAAGAAGUCAGGAGGAAAAAGCCAGAACAGUUGAUCCAAAAUGACCAAAGGACUAUUCCACACCAUAUGACAUCAUUCUGGGCAAUAAAAGCUGUGUUAAAGAAGCUGUGUUAAAGAAGGAGGAAGAGGAGCGCAUUUGGAGUGAUGACAUUUGACUCCCCAAGAAAAUAAAGUGUUACGUGUGGUGAGCCCUACUCUCCCAGAAGUGGCUGAACACCAGCCUGUCAAUGGAAGUAAUAAAUUAUUUCUUUUUUUCUUGCUUUGCUUAUGUAUGUGGAUUUUGCUUUAGUAAACUUCUCUAGUAAACUUCUCUUGUCUAUCCCAGCUGGGGAGAAUGAGUGAACAGUUGUGCUGAGCUGCCUGCUGGAUGUAAAACACAACAAGAAAAGCUUUCUAGCACUGUAUCUAGACAUCUUUGCUAGGAGAUAUGAGCAUAAAAUCUACUUGAUAUGUUUCAUGCAAAACAACAGUAUUAAUCUUGAGUGAGAUCACAAGGCAUGUGCGGGACCACCAGGGGAUCAGGCCUAGCCAGCAUGGAUUCACAAAAGGCAGGUCCUGCCUGACCAACAUAAUCUCCCUCUAUGAUCAAGUGACUCACUUCCUUGUGAGUCACUUGGUGGAUGUAGUCUGCCUAAACUUCAAUAAAACCUUUGACGCUGUCUCUGAGAGUGUUCCUUUGGAGAAGCUGUCAGCCUGUGGUUUGGAAAGCUACAUUCUUUGCCUUAUAAAGAACUGGAUGGAGGGCUGGGUCGAGAGAGUGAUGGUGAAUGGAAUUAAAGCCAGUUGGUGACCGGUGACAAGUGGUGUUCCCCAGGAGAUGGUAUUGAGGCCUGUCUUGUCAUCUUUAUUGAUGACAUGGAUGAAGGGAUUGAGUUUACCCUCAGUAAGUUUGCAGAUGACACCAAGUUGGGAAGAAGUGUCAAUCUGCCUGGGUUAGGAAGGCUCUUCAAAGGAAUCUGGGCAGGCUGGAUCACUGGGCUCAGGCCAGUCGGAUGAAGUUCAACAAGAUCAAGUUCUGGGUCCUUCACUUUGGCCACAUUUACCCCAGGCAAAGUUACAGGUUUGGGGCAGAGUGGCUGGAAGCCUGUGUGGAAGAAAUGGAUCUGGGGAUGUUGGUCGAUGCUUAGCUAAACAUGAGCCUGCAGUGUGACCAGGUAGCUAAGAAGGUCAAUGGCAUCCUGACUUGUAUCAGAAAUAGUGUUGCCAGAAGGAGGGGGGAGGUGAUCAUCCCUCUGUACUCAGUUCUGGUGAGGUCACACCUUGAGUAUGGAGUUCAGUUUUGGGCUCCUCACUACGUGAAAGACAUCAAGACCCCAGAUUGUGUCCAGGGAAGGGCAAGGAAGUUGGUGAGGUGUCUAGGGCACAAGUCUUAUGGAGACCUGCUGAGGGAACUUGGAUUGUUUUGUUUGGACAAAAGGAAAAAUUUCUUCUCCUAGAGUGGUCAGGCACUGGAACAGGCUGCACAGGGAAGUGUUUGAGUCACUGUCCCUGGAGGUGUUCAAGAAAUGUUUGGAUGUGGUACUAAGAGAAAUUGUUUACUGGGGAAAUAUUGGUGGUAGGUGAACAGCUGGACUGGAUGAUCUUGGAGAACUUUUUCAACCUUGUUGAUUCUAUGACUCUAUGAAAUUACAACCAAUUACCAGCAAAUAAGACAAGAGUAAAUUCUUUGCUUUUCCACAUUUAGAAAUUUCCAAUAGUUUUAAAUACUUCAAAGAACGAUAAGCUGUACAAUAUAUCAUGAAAGUUAUCAUAUGUAAGUUAAGUGGAAAGCAAAUUAUUAUUGGUGAGCAGUAUACCCGAUAGCCUGUAUUUUGUGCCUUCCCACAUCCUAUCCUUGAAUGUCUGGUUAAACUGGAAUAUACAGCGUGUGGAUGGCAAGCUGGACAUGAGCCAGUACUGUGUACUCACAGCCCAGAAUGCCAACACUAUCCUUGGCUGCAUGAAAAGAAGCAUGGCCAGCAGGUCAAGGGAUCCUGCCCCUCUGCUCUGUGCUGGUGAGACCUCUCCUGAGUACUGCAUCCAGAUGGGGAGUCCUCUUUACAGAUGAGACAUGGACCUGCUGGAGCGCAUCCAGAGGAGGGCCACAAAAGUGAUCCAAUGAAUGGAACAUCUCUCCUAUGAGAACAGGCUGAGACAGCUGGGGCUGCUCAGCCUAGAGAGGAAAAGACUCCAAAAAAAAAUCUGAUAGCAUCCUUUCAGUAUCUAAAGGGGGGCUGUAAGAAAGAAGGGUACAGACUUGUUAGCAGGGUCGGUGGUGAUAGAACUAGGGGAAAUGAUUUCCAACUUAAAGAGUGUAGAUGCAGGUUGGAUAUAAGAAAAAGUCUUUGACAGUGAGGGUGGUGAGGCACUGGAACAGUUUGCCCAGAGAUGUGGUGGAUACCUCAUCCCUGGAGACAUUCAAAGUCAGGCUGGACGGGGCUCUGUGCACCUGAUCUAACUAUAGGCAUCUCUGUUCAAUGCAGAGGAGCUGGACCAGAUGACCUUUAAACGUCCCUUCCAACUCUGAAGAUUCUCUGUUCUCUGAUUCUAAAUGCACGUUUCCUCCAAUUAGACAUAUUUUUUUCAUUAGAAUUGAUUAAUCUGUUCUUUAAAAUGGAGAUGUUUUUUAAGAUGUGCUUUCCUCACAUGUUAAUCUUUUUUCAACUUUAAAAAUGUAUGCAUAAUUUGCAGCAAGCAUGCAGAUCAGUAUUUUUAUAAAUGAAUUUCUUAAUAUAGUGAAAUAAUGCCAUUAUUUUUUCAACAUAUACGUGUAUUUUGAUGCAUAAGUGCUCACAAAUUCCCAAUUCCAUUUUUUUAUUUCAUGUCAGCCCUUUUAUAUUCAAACAGCUAUUGGAACAGAUGCAUAAAUCAGGCAUUUAUGCAUGAAGAAAUAUGACUUUCUAUUUUGCAAACAAGCAGAAAUAGUUCAAAACAAUAGGGAAAAACCACAAUGACUGUGUAAAUAAUGUAAACACCUCCUGGGAAAAGGAUAAAAAUUCAUUUAAAGAUUCUAGGUUAUGAUCUUCAUAAUAACCAAUCCAUUUAACUCUUGCCAACUCAAAUAUUAUAUGCUCUUUACAAUUCAGGUGGGGAAAAUCAAUUAGUUUCCUAAUGUUUAUGCUUCAUAACAGUUGCAGAAUUUCAACAAUGCUUCCGCACUUCUAAUCUCUCCAUCAGUUCAACCUCCAGUCCAAUGAACAUUCAGCUGCAAAGACAAAAGUUGGAUCAGCAGGGAUUUGAGAAGAAAUCUCCUACCUCAGCAUUACUGUUAUUCAGAGUAAUCGAGGCUAUUCUCUUUGUAAAAAAUUUCUUUGACAGCACUGACUAGCUUGAACUCUCUGAGUUCCUUGUGUGCAUAUAAUUAAGCUUCUGUUUUGCCCUUUUUUAAAAAAAAAAAAUGUCUUUGUGACAAUGGAUAACAAUGCUCUUCUCUGAUACACCCAUCAGAAGAGAAAAAUAUCUCUUUUAAGGUUUGAUUGACCCCUAAUAAAAGAACAGUUAUGUUUUGGGUAAUUGUAAGCUAUACAUGAAAUGAAGAGCUAUGCACCAGAUACUGCGUAUCAGAACACCUCUGAAAUUAGAGUAACUUCAUGAAUUUCUAAUUGUUUGUUAUGUAAACUCUCCAAGAAAAUGUGUUGGUUGUAUUCAUCUAAGAAAGAACAUUAAGUGAAUUAGUAGCUUCAAUAUACACAAAAACAUUAAAAAUAAUAAAUAAUAA